UGGCGAACUGGUGAGUAACACGUGGGUGAUCUGCCCUGCACUCUGGGAUAAGCCUGGGAAACUGGGUCUAAUACCGGAUAGGACCAUGCUUUAGUGUGUGUGGUGGAAAGUUUUUUCGGUGUAGGAUGAGCCCGCGGCCUAUCAGCUUGUUGGUGGGGUAAUGGCCUACCAAGGCGGCGACGGGUAGCCGGACUGAGAGGUUGGUCGGCCACAUUGGGACUGAGAUACGGCCCAG
rnacentral:rRNA from 1 species